UGCAUAUCAAUAAGCGGAGGAAAAGAAACCAACAGGGAUUGCCUUAGUAACGGCGAGUGAAGCGGCAAAAGCUCAAAUUUGAAAUCUGGCACCUUCGGUGUCCGAGUUGUAAUUUGAAGAAGGUAACUUUGGAGUUGGCUCUUGUCUAUGUUCCUUGGAACAGGACGUCACAGAGGGUGAGAAUCCCGUGCGAUGAGAUGCCCAAUUCUAUGUAAAGUGCUUUCGAAGAGUCGAGUUGUUUGGGAAUGCAGCUCUAAGUGGGUGGUAAAUUCCAUCUAAAGCUAAAUAUUGGCGAGAGACCGAUAGCGAACAAGUACAGUGAUGGAAAGAUGAAAAGAACUUUGAAAAGAGAGUGAAAAAGUACGUGAAAUUGUUGAAAGGGAAGGGCUUGAGAUCAGACUUGGUAUUUUGCGAUCCUUUCCUUCUUGGUUGGGUUCCUCGCAGCUUACUGGGCCAGCAUCGGUUUGGAUGGUAGGAUAAUGACUAAGGAAUGUGGCUCUACUUCGGUGGAGUGUUAUAGCCUUGGUUGAUACUGCCUGUCUAGACCGAGGACUGCGUCUUUUGACUAGGAUGUUGGCAUAAUGAUCUUAAGCCACCCGUCUUGAAACCACGGACCA
rnacentral:rRNA from 1 species